UCAUGCAUAGAGGAGCAUAGAGAAG
rnacentral:piRNA from 1 species